UGUUGGAGGUGCUGCUGAGGAGGAAGCCUGUUGCCUGAGGAAGGUAGGCAGCUAUGAGAGUCAGGGAAAAUCUGCUCCUCCAGUUUCCUUCAUGUGGUUCAUCCCUGAUCCUUUCCCUUUGAAGAAUGCAAGUGAAUUUCUUCUCUUCUCUGUGAAGAAAAUGAAUCUUUCAAUGUUCCUGGCAGUCUGCCCUCCAUCCUUCUACGCUUACUGAUGCUGUUGACCUGGGUUCCUUGUGUGCUCCUUUGCACUCUACCAAGGUGCAAAAUUUGACUUCUCUACUGUCUCCGAUCACAGCCUUCUCCCAUCCAUAGGAUGCUCCCUCCAGACCUGUCUGGAUCUUAAUGCUAUUUGCUGAAGUCCAUGAGCCUUAACCCAAAUCAGCUGAAGAAAGAAUCAGACCCAAAGAAGAGUUCCUGCAAUUUAAUGAAACAUGGUGACAGCUUCUGGAAGAAGAGUGUUGAAACUCACACCUGGACAGCCAGCCUCAAUGUCUAUCAGGCCUUGAUAACCAAAAUGAACUGGAAAGAAAUGCAGUAACUUCCUUGCCAUACCCCAGAGAUCAAUGGCACAAAAUAUCCAGCAAGGGACUGGAGAAGUCUCCCAGCCUGCCAGAUAUCCAUGAAUCCAAGUGGAAAAGAGAACGUGGCACAUGACACUUAAUCCCAGUGUGAGCAAAGGCUGCCCUCGUACCCAGAGAAACAACUGAUAGCAAAUAUAGGACUGAGACCUCCAGGGAGGUGUCCAGGAGCAAUGUCUCCUCUGUGGAAGACAAACGCUUGGGACAAACUCCAAGGUCUUCUCUGUAUGGGCAGCAGGAAGGGAACAGUGUAAUGUUUGGGAUCACCUGAGCUAGCUGGCAUCCAGGUGCUUAGCUGUGUUGAGGUUUAUUGCACUGGAGUUGCCAUGAAGAGUUUUCAUCAAUCAGGAACGCAUGUACUUUUUCAAAGAAACUCAGGGGGUCUGCAGAGCCUGAUGGAUACGCUUAUAAAUUUCAAAGUGGCAAUUUGGAGGGUAGCUGGCAAGACAUGAGCCAUUGUAGAAAGAUGAAUUCACAGGCAGGACUUUUUAGAGAAUGGAUUUGAGAAUGAAAGAGUGAUUCCACCAACCUGCUUCAUUUAUUUAUUUAAAUUUAUGCUAUAAAAUGAACAGCAGAGGAAAGCCAAAAUUUGCACUUAUGAUUUUUCUUCUUUUUCCCAACCUUCUUUUAUUUAUUAAACUUCUCUGGAUAUACCU